GAGAGAGAGAGAGAGAGAGAGAGAGAGAGAGAGAGAGAGAGAAAUUUGAUGGUUAACUGGCAUACUGUUCAACAUACCAAUUAUGCCAUUUGACGACGAUCGACAACCGAAAUAAAGAUUACUUGAGCAUUGGCAACGUAGAUUUGCAGUACCAUGCCAAAAUCCAAAGAAGCUAAUGUUUGGAGAAAGAAGAUAUCAUAUGUAUGCAUGACCUAGCAGCUUGUGUCUAUCUACCAAGUACCAAACCCUAAUUAUAUGUGAUCACACUCAUCUCUAUCACAAAGCGUUGACAACAAUAAUCGAUGGGCUUAUGCUAAUAGAAAUAAAUUUGAUUGAGAUUUCCUUCAAAGAGGUUA
rnacentral:lncRNA from 1 species